CGUAACUCCGUGCAAGCAGGCGCGGGAAUAGGUGGGAGGCGAGCGGUAUACCGAAUUAUUGGGCGUAAAGCGUCCGUAGGGGGCGAGUCAAGUCUGCGGUCAAAGACUGGGGCUUAACCCUGGAAAGGCCGGGGAAACUGACGAGCUAGAGUGCAGUAGGGGGAGAGGGAAUUCCCGGUGUAGCGGUGAAAUGCGUAGAGCUCGGGAAGAACAUCGGUGGCGAAAGCGCUCUACUGGACUGCAACUGACACUCAGGGACGAAAGCUAGGGGAGCGAAUGGGAUUAGAUACCCCAGUAGUC
rnacentral:rRNA from 1 species